UAGGGAAUCUUCCGCAAUGGGCGAAAGCCUGACGGAGCAACGCCGCGUGAGUGAUGAAGGUCUUCGGAUCGUAAAACUCUGUUAUUAGGGAAGAACAAAUGUGUAAGUAACUAUGCAAGUCUUGACGGUACCUAAUCAGAAAGCCACGGCUAACUACGUGCCAGCAGCCGCGGUAAUACGUAGGUGGCAAGCGUUAUCCGGAAUUAUUGGGCGUAAAGCGCGCGUAGGCGGUUUUUUAAGUCUGAUGUGAAAGCCCACGGCUCAACCGUGGAGGGUCAUUGGAAACUGGAAAACUUGAGUGCAGAAGAGGAAAGUGGAAUUCCAGUUGUAGCGGUGAAAUGCGCAGAGAUAUGGAGGAACACCAGUGGCGAAGGCGACUUUCUGGUCUGUAACUGACGCUGAUGUGCAAAGGCGGGGGGAUCAAACAGG
rnacentral:rRNA from 1 species